rnacentral:rRNA from 1 species
UUUGAAUGUUAAUUUUGUUUGCCUGAGUAGUAUUAGUUAUGUUCUUGAAACUUAAAGAAUUUGGCGGUGCCUUAUAUCUGCUUAGAGGAAUCUGUCUCGUUAUCGAUGGUCCGCGUUGGACCUUACUUAGUUUCUUAUAGGCUUGUAUACCGCCGUUUAUUGAUCAUCUUUUUAGGGUUAUUUAAUUUUCUGGUUUCUUAUUGUUGGGUUUAUUUCAGGUCAAGGUGCAGCUUGUUUCUAAGUGUUGAUGGAUUACACUGGUAUUGUGUGUUGGUUCUGAUUGUUGGGUGGAAUUCCUGGCAUGAGGUUGGAUUUAAUUGUAAUGUUUUGUAGAUUGUUUUCAUGAUAGUGGCCCUGAGGCAUGU